ensembl:snRNA U6 U6 spliceosomal RNA
GUGCUUGUUUCAGCAGCACAUAUACCAAAAUUGGAAUGAUACACGGAUUAGCAUGGCCCCAGCACAAGGAUGACACACAAAUUUGUGAAGCAUUCCAUAUUAAA